AGAGUUUGAUCAUGGCUCAGGACGAACGCUGGCGGCGUGCUUAACACAUGCAAGUCGAGCGGAAAGGCCCUUUCGGGGGUACUCGAGCGGCGAACGGGUGAGUAACACGUGAGUAACCUGCCUCUGGCUUUGGGAUAACCCUCGGAAACGGGGGCUAAUACCGAAUAUUCAGCGUCUGCGGCAUCGUGGGUGUUGGAAAGUUUUUCGGCUAGGGAUGGGCUCGCGGCCUAUCAGCUUGUUGGUGGGGUAAUGGCCUACCAAGGCGGCGACGGGUAGCCGGCCUGAGAGGGCGACCGGCCACACUGGGACUGAGACACGGCCCAGACUCCUACGGGAGGCAGCAGUGGGGAAUAUUGCGCAAUGGGCGAAAGCCUGACGCAGCGACGCCGCGUGAGGGAUGAAGGCCUUCGGGUUGUAAACCUCUUUCAGCAGGGACGAAGCGAAAGUGACGGUACCUGCAGAAGAAGCCCCGGCCAACUACGUGCCAGCAGCCGCGGUAAUACGUAGGGGGCAAGCGUUGUCCGGAUUUAUUGGGCGUAAAGAGCUCGUAGGCGGUCGUUCACGUCGGAUGUUAAAGCUCGGGGCUCAACCCUGAGAGGCCAUUCGAUACGGAACGACUAGAGGCAGGUAGGGGAGGGUGGAAUUCCUGGUGUAGCGGUGAAAUGCGCAGAUAUCAGGAGGAACACCGGUGGCGAAGGCGGCCCUCUGGGCCUGUCCUGACGCUGAGGAGCGAAAGCUGGGGGAGCGAACAGGAUUAGAUACCCUGGUAGUCC
rnacentral:rRNA from 1 species